UGGAUAGCUUAGUCAGUAGAGCAUGAAACUCUUAAUUUCAGGGUUGUGGGUUCAAGCUCCACAUUGGGCAAAA